AGCGAACGCUGGCGGCAGGCCUAACACAUGCAAGUCGAACGAACUCUUCGGAGUUAGUGGCGGACGGGUGAGUAACACGUGGGAACGUGCCUUUUGGUUCGGAAUAACUCAGGGAAACUUGUGCUAAUACCGAAUGUGCCCUUCGGGGGAAAGAUUUAUCGCCAUUAGAGCGGCCCGCGUCUGAUUAGCUAGUUGGUGAGGUAACGGCUCACCAAGCCGACGAUCAGUAGCUGGUCUGAGAGGAUGACCAGCCACACUGGGACUGAGACACGGCCCAGACUCCUACGGGAGGCAGCAGUGGGGAAUCUUGCGCAAUGGGCGAAAGCCUGACGCAGCCAUGCCGCGUGAAUGAUGAAGGUCUUAGGAUUGUAAAAUUCUUUCACCGGGGACGAUAAUGACGGUACCCGGAGAAGAAGCCCCGGCUAACUUCGUG
rnacentral:rRNA from 1 species